GUCAUUUUGGACAGGUUUAAGUCAUUUUGGACAGGUUUAAGUCAUUUUGGACCGGUUUUAAGUCAUUUUGGACAGGUUUAAGUCAUUUUGGACAGAUUUAGGUCAUUUUGGACAGGUUUAAGUCAUUUUGGACAGAUUUAGGUCAUUUUGGACAGGUUUAAGUCAUUUUGGACAGAUUUAGGUCAUUUUGGACAGGUUUAAGUCAUUUUGGACAGAUUUAGGUCAUUUUGGACAGGUUUAAGUCAUUUUGGACAGAUUUAGGU